rnacentral:misc_RNA from 2 species
AGAAGUCGGUAUUCUAACCGCAAGGAGGAAGCCGCCCAAGGUAGGAUUGAUGAUUAGGGUGAAGUCGUAACAAGGUAUCCGUACGAGAACGUGCGGAUGGAUCACCUCCUUUCUAUGGAGUUAUUACUUUAUAGUAAUCUAAUUAGUUUUAAUGACCGUUAUGUUUAGUUUUCGGGGAUUAGUUUCUCUGACAAUAACACGAAAAAUGUUAUUGAAAUUGUUCUUUGAAAACUGGAUAAUAGACAUCUAGUUAUUUUAAUCAUAAGAUUAAAAUAACAAUAAUUCAAAAUUUCUGUUAUUUUAAAAAAAUAACUAAAAUUUCACAGUUAUAUUUGUAAAUGAUUCUCAAAACUGAUUUAAAAUCAGGUCAAAUAAUUAAAUUAAUAAAACUUUGAAGUUACAAAGGG